AACAUUAAUAUUUUUUUAACAAUAACAAUUAAAAUAUCGCGUGCCUAAAGGUAAAAGGACUUAUAACAAUUUAUGCGCCCUUUUACCUUUGCAAAGGUAAAAGGGCGCAUAUUUUUUUUUUUUAUUGCCAAUCGAGUAGUAGACACAUUCUGCGCUUAAAAUU